GCGGGGGAGGCGGGGCCGGCGGCCGGGCAGGGCCGGGGCGGCGCCGAGGCCCGGCCGGAGCGGGAGCCCAAGCGCGGCGGGCGCGGUGGCCGGGGCGGGGGGCUUAGGCCGGCGAAGAUGGCGAGCGUGGGGCUGCAGUUCCAGGCGAGCGCCGGGGACGCGGACCCGCAGAGCCGGCCGCUGCUGCUGCUCGGGCAGCUGCACCACCUGCACCGCGUGCCCUGGAGCCACGUCCGCGGGAAGCUGCUGCCCCGGGUCACCGAGGAGCUCUGGCAGGCUGCCCUAAGCACGCUCAACCCCAGCCCCACGGACAGCUGUCCCCUCUACCUGAACUAUGCCACCGUGGCCGCCCUGCCCUCCAGGGUGAGCCGGCACAAUAGCCCCUCGGCCGCGCAUUUCGUCACCCGGCUCGUGCGGACCUGCCUGCCGCCGGGAACCCAUCGGUGCAUUCUGAUGGUCUGUGAGCGGUCGGACGCCUUCGCCUCGGCCUGUGCCCUGGCCCGCGCUUUCCCACUCUUCACCCAACGCUCGGGGGCAUCACGGCGCCCGGAGAAGAAGACCGUCACAGUGGAGUUUUUCCUGGUGGGACAAGACAACGGGCCAGUGGAAGUGUCCACUUUGCAAUGUUUAACAAGCGCCACAGAAGGCGUGCGGCUGGCAGCCCGCAUCGUGGACACGCCCUGCAAUGAGAUGAACACAGACACCUUCCUCGAGGAGAUUAAGAAAGUUGGAAAAGAACUGGGGAUCGUCCCAACCGUUAUCCGGGACGAGGAGCUGAAGACAAGAGGAUUUGGAGGGAUCUACGGUGUGGGCAAGGCCGCCCUCCACCCCCCAGCCCUAGCCGUCCUCAGCCACACCCCGGACGGAGCCACCCAGACCAUCGCGUGGGUGGGCAAGGGCAUCGUCUACGACACCGGGGGUCUCAGCAUGAAGGGGAAGACCACCAUGCCAGGGAUGAAGAGGGACUGCGGGGGCGCCGCGGCCGUGCUGGGGGCCUUCAGAGCUGCCGUCAAGCAGGGUUUCAGAGACACCCUCCAUGCCGUGUUCUGCCUGGCUGAGAACUCGGUGGGACCCGGCGCCACGAGGCCGGACGACAUCCACCUGCUGUACUCAGGAAAGACUGUGGAAAUCAACAACACGGACGCCGAGGGCAGGCUGGUGCUGGCGGAUGGCGUGUCCUACGCGUGCAAGGACCUGGGCGCCGACAUCAUCCUGGACAUCGCCACGCUGACCGGAGCUCAGGGCAUCGCCACGGGCAAGUACCACGCGGCAGUGCUCACCAACAGCGCCGAGUGGGAGGCGGCCUGCAUGAAGGCCGGGCGGCAGUGCGGGGACCUGGUGCACCCGCUCGUCUACUGCCCGGAGCUGCACUUCAGCGAGUUCACCUCGGCCGUGGCAGACAUGAAGAACUCAGUGGCGGACCGGGACAACGGCCCCAGCUCCUGCGCCGGCCUUUUCAUCGCCUCGCACAUCGGCUUCGACUGGCCUGGGGUCUGGGUCCACCUGGACAUCGCUGCGCCCGUGCACGCCGGUGAGCGGGCCACGGGCUUCGGUGUGGCUCUCCUGCUGGCGCUCUUCGGCCGGGCCUCUGAGGACCCUCUGCUGAACCUGGUGUCCCCGCUAGGCUGUGAGGUGGACGCCCAGGAGGAGGACGUGGAGAGGGACUCCAAGAAGCGCAGGCUCGUGUGAUGCGGCUGCCCCGCCCGGCGGCGCUGGGCUCUUUACCUCACUUUGCACUGAUUAAUUCCCGUUUUAGAAAGCAAUCCUGACGCCUGCCCAUGGGCCUGAGGCUCCGGGAUGCCACCACCUUCUCCCAAACCAGCAUCUGGCUUUGAGAUGCAGCUUGUCAACCUCGUUUUUACAGAUGAGCACCCUGGGGCCCUCGGGUCCAGGCCUGCACACAUCCUGGGCCGUCUUGGAUCUGAAGGUUCAGAGUGUAGACUCCUCGGGCUCUUAGGGCUUUCCCACGACCUGCAGUCUGCAGGGAAGGCUGUCCCGAACCCCCGAGCACAUCACGAGGCAAGUGUUGUACGGGUUCAAGUGAAGGUCCCCCCCGGGCAUGUUCCUAGGUGCUGAAGGGCCCAGUCUGGCCAGGUUUCAGGGAGACCCCUGACCUGGGCCCAGCGGAGGAGAUCGGGGACUCGGGCCCCACCCGGCAUGGCGGCGGCUGCCCACGCCUCCUCUGCUGGGGACGGGAGGGCGAGAACGCGGCUGCAGGACACUUGUCCCCAGGCUGUGCCCUGACAAUCAAGGUGACUCUUUCUGGGUUUUGUCCCAAGCAUGUAUUUAAUGACUGCCUGCCGUGGGCACAGCCCCGCCUGGGAAAACCAUGGCCCACGUGUUAAGUCGCAGUAGUAGUGGUCACAGGGUGCCCGGAGGGCCACGCUGUGAGCUCAGGGAGGCGCGGGGGUCGGAGGGGCCAGGAGCCUUCACGGGUCAUUAGCGUGUUUAAUGGUCUUGAAGUAGGCAGCUCGCUCCAGCUUCCCCCGAGAAGCCCUGGAGGAGCCAGAGAUCACCGAGGUGGCCCAGCUCCUCCUCCAGGCAGCUGGCACUGUCCCCCCCCACACCCCCCACAGAGGCUGCAGGAUGCAGGGUCAGGGAGCCGGGGAGGAACUGAGUCUCCCUUGUGUGGGCACAAAGGCGGCCUCAGGCCCGGGGACUCAGCUGGGGAGCAGCUGCAAGGGCUUGGCAUCAGGGGGACCCAGGGCUGAGGCAAAGACCCUGCUUCUCGAGGCCAAAGGGCCUGAGGACCUGACGGCUGCUUCCCAUGGCCCCUCUGGAGCCCCGGC